rnacentral:tRNA from 1 species
GGGCGCUUGGUCUAGGGGUAUGAUUUUCGCUUUGCAUGUGAACGGUCGCGGGUUCAAUUCCCGCAGUGUCCA